UACAGAGGGGGCAAGCGUUAUUCGGAAUUACUGGGCGUAAAGGGCUCGUAGGCGGCCCGCUAAGUCGAACGUGAAAUCCCCGAGCUCAACUCGGGAACUGCGUCCGAUACUGGCGGGCUUGAAUCCGGGAGAGGGAUGCGGAAUUCCAGGUGUAGCGGUGAAAUGCGUAGAUAUCUGGAGGAACACCAGCGGCGAAGGCGGCGUCCUGGACUGGGCCUGACGCUCAGGAGCGAAAGCGUGGGGAGCAAACAGG
rnacentral:rRNA from 1 species